GAGUUUUGAUCCUGGCUCAUGAUGAACGCUGGCGGCGUGCUUAACACAUGCAAGUCGAACGAACCUUCGGGUUAGUGGCGGACGGGUGAGUAACGCGUGAGAAUCUGCCCUCAGGAGGGGGAUAACGGCUGGAAACGGCCGCUAAUACCCCAUAUGCCGAGAGGUGAAAUGAAUUUCGCCUGAGGAUGAGCUCGCGUCUGAUUAGCUAGUUGGUGGGGUAAGAGCCUACCAAGGCUUCGAUCAGUAGCUGGUCUGAGAGGAUGAUCAGCCACACUGGGACUGAGACACGGCCCAGACUCCUACGGGAGGCAGCAGUGGGGAAUUUUCCGCAAUGGGCGAAAGCCUGACGGAGCAACGCCGCGUGAGGGAUGAAGGCCUCUGGGCUGUAAACCUCUUUUCUCAAGGAAGAAGAUCUGACGGUACUUGAGGAAUAAGCCACGGCUAAUUCCGUGCCAGCAGCCGCGGUAAUACGGGAGUGGCAAGCGUUAUCCGGAAUUAUUGGGCGUAAAGCGUCCGCAGGCGGCCUUGAAAGUCUGCUGUUAAAGCGUGGAGCUUAACUCCAUUUCAGCAGUGGAAACUACAAGGCUAGAGUGUGGUAGGGGCAGAGGGAAUUCCCGGUGUAGCGGUGAAAUGCGUAGAUAUCGGGAAGAACACCAGUGGCGAAGGCGCUCUGCUGGGCCAUAACUGACGCUCAUGGACGAAAGCCAGGGGAGCGAAAGGGAUUAGAUACCCCUGUAGUCCUGGCCGUAAACGAUGAACACUAGGUGUCGGGGGAAUCGACCCCUCCGGUGUCGUAGCCAACGCGUUAAGUGUUCCGCCUGGGGAGUACGCACGCAAGUGUGAAACUCAAAGGAAUUGACGGGGGCCCGCACAAGCGGUGGAGUAUGUGGUUUAAUUCGAUGCAACGCGAAGAACCUUACCAGGGUUUGACAUCCUGCGAAUCCCUUGGAAACGAGGGAGCGCCUUCGGGAGCGCAGUGACAGGUGGUGCAUGGCUGUCGUCAGCUCGUGUCGUGAGAUGUUGGGUUAAGUCCCGCAACGAGCGCAACCCACGUCUUUAGUUGCCAGCAUUGAGUUGGGCACUCUAGAGAGACCGCCGGUGAUAAACCGGAGGAAGGUGUGGAUGACGUCAAGUCAUCAUGCCCCUUAUAUCCUGGGCUACACACGUACUACAAUGCUACGGACAAAGGGCAGCAAACUCGCGAGAGCUAGCAAAUCCCAUAAACCGUGGCUCAGUUCAGAUCGUAGGCUGCAACUCGCCUACGUGAAGGAGGAAUCGCUAGUAAUCGCAGGUCAGCAUACUGCGGUGAAUACGUUCCCGGGCCUUGUACACACCGCCCGUCACACCAUGGAAGUUGGCCACGCCCGAAGUCGUUACUCCAACCCGCAAGGGAGGAGGAUGCCGAAGGUGGGGCUG
rnacentral:rRNA from 1 species